rnacentral:tRNA from 1 species
GGCCCCUUCGUCUAGUGGCCCAGGACGCCGCCCUCUCACGGCGGAAACAGGGGUUCGAUUCCCCUAGGGGCUGCCA